rnacentral:rRNA from 1 species
GACGAACGCUGGCGGCGUGCCUAAUACAUGCAAGUUGAGCGCUGAAGGUUGGUACUUGUCCCAACUGGAUGAGCAGCGAACGGGUGAGUAACGCGUGGGGAAUCUGCCUUUGAGCGGGGGCCAACUUUGGGAACGAAAUCCAAUAACCCAUUAAAACUUUAAAACACAGGUUUAAGUUUGAAAAAAGCCAUUGCAUUAACCAAAGAUGAAUCCGCGUUGUAUUUGGUAGUUGGUGAGGUAAAGGCCCACCAAGGCGAGGAUACAUAGCCGACCUGAGAGGGUGAUCGGCCACAUUGGGACUGAGACACGGCCCAAACUCCUACGGGAGGCAGCAGUAGGGAAUCUUCGGCAAUGGACGAAAGUCUGACCGAGCAACGCCGCGGGAGUGAAGAAGGUUUUCGGAUCGUAAAACUCUGUUGGUAGAGAAGAACGUUGGUGAGAGUGGAAAGCUCAUCAAGUGACGGUAACUACCCAGAAAGGGACGGCUAACUACGUG